UACGUAGGGUGCGAGCGUUAAUCGGAAUUACUGGGCGUAAAGCGUGCGCAGGCGGCUUCGCAAGUCAGACGUGAAAUCCCCGGGCUCAACUUGGGAAUGGCGUUUGAAACUACGAGGCUGGAGUGUGGCAGAGGGAGGUGGAAUUCCACGUGUAGCGGUGAAAUGCGUAGAGAUGUGGAGGAACACCGAUGGCGAAGGCAGCCUCCUGGGCCAACACUGACGCUCAUGCAAGAAAGCGUGGGGAGCAAACAGG
rnacentral:rRNA from 1 species